GGUAUUGGAGAUGAGGGUGCAAGGGUUAUUGCAGAUAUGCUGAAAGAAAAUCAAACUUUACGUGUACUGGAACUUAACAAUAAUAUGAUUGAAUAUUCUGGUUUUGCAAGUCUUGCUGGAGCACUAGUUGAGAAUAAGGCAAUUCGAUCUAUACAUCUCAAGCUAAUAAGACUUACACACACUUAGAUUUUCUAUCCAUGCAGUUCUUUCUUGCAGAUUUAAUUUCUUCAUCAGAUCUGUUGGCUUUCCAGUAUUUAUUGAUUGUAUUAC